GCGCAGUGUAGCGGUUAUCACUUCAGAUUCCGAUACAUUCCCUGACAACUCUCAUUUUCUGGCGACCCCGGUUCGAUUCCGGGCGCG